UACGGAGGGUGCGAGCGUUAAUCGGAAUUACUGGGCGUAAAGGGCGCGUAGGCGGCUGGGUAAGUCGGAUGUGAAAUCCCCGGGCUUAACCUGGGAACUGCAUUCGAUACUGCCCGGCUAGAGUAUGGUAGAGGGAAGCGGAAUUCCGGGUGUAGCGGUGAAAUGCGUAGAUAUCCGGAGGAACACCAGUGGCGAAGGCGGCUUCCUGGACCAAUACUGACGCUGAGGUGCGAAAGCGUGGGGAUCAAACAGG
rnacentral:rRNA from 1 species